rnacentral:rRNA from 1 species
GAUGAACGCUGGCGGCGUGCCUAAUACAUGCAAGUCGAGCGAACGGACGAGAAGCUUGCUUCUCUGAUGUUAGCGGCGGACGGGUGAGUAACACGCGGUUAACCUACCUAUAAGACUGGGAUAACUUCGGGAAACCGGAGCUAAUACCGGAUAAUAUUUUGAACCGCAUGGUUCAAAAGUGAAAGACGGUCUUGCUGUCACUUAUAGAUGGAUCCGCGCUGCAUUAGCUAGUUGGUAAGGUAACGGCUUACCAAGGCAACGAUGCAUAGCCGACCCGAGAGGGUGAUCGGACAGACUGUAACUGAGACAGGGCCCAGACUCCUACGGGAGGCAGCAGUAGGGAAUCUUCCGCGAUGGGCGAAAGCCUGACGGAGCAACGCCGCGUGAGUGAUGAAGGUCUUCGGAUCGUAAAACUCUGUUAUUAGGGGGGAACAUAUGUGUAAGUAACUGUGCACAUCUUGACGGUACCUAAUCAGAAAGCCACGGCUAACUACGUG